UACAGAGGGUGCGAGCGUUAAUCGGAAUUACUGGGCGUAAAGCGCGCGUAGGCGGCUUGGUCAGUCCCGUGUGAAAUCCCUCGGCUCAACUGAGGAACUGCACGGGAAACUGCCUGGCUUGAGUUCGGGAGAGGGAAGCGGAAUUCCGGGUGUAGCGGUGAAAUGCGCAGAUAUCAGGAAGAACACCAAUGGCGAAAGCAGCUUCUGGGACGGUAACUGACGCUGGAGACGCGAAAGCGUGGGGAGCGAACAGG
rnacentral:rRNA from 1 species